rnacentral:rRNA from 1 species
UACGUAGGGUGCAAGCGUUGUUCCGGAAUUAUUGGGCGUAAAGGGCUCGUAGGCGGUUUGUCGCGUCGGGAGUGAAAAUCCGAGGCUUAACUCUGGACUGGCUUUCGAUACGGGCAGACUAGAGGUAUGCAGGGGAGAACGGAAUUCCUGGUGUAGCGGUGAAAUGCGCAGAUAUCAGGAGGAACACCGGUGGCGAAGGCGGUCUCUGGGCGACUACCUGACGCUGAGGAGCGAAAGUGUGGGAGGCGAACAGG